CGAAAGCCUGACGGAGCAAGAACGCGGGAGGGAGGAAGGCUCUUGGGUCGUAAACCUCUUUUCUCAGGGAAGAUAAUGACGGUACCUGAGGAAUAAGCAUCGGCUAACUCUGUGCCAGCAGCCGCGGUAAUACAGAGGAUGCAAGCGUUAUCCGGAAUGAUUGGGCGUAAAGAGUCCGUAGGUGGCAUUGUAAGUCUGUGGUUAAAGCGUGGAGCUUAACUCCAUAAGGGCCAUAGAAACUACAAAGCUAGAGUGAAGUAGGGGUAGAGGGAAUUCUCGGUGUAGCGGUGAAAUGCGUAGAUAUCGGGAAGAACACCGGUGGCGAAGGCGCUCUACUGGACCUUAACUGACACUGAGGGACGAAAGCUAGGGGAGCG
rnacentral:rRNA from 1 species